rnacentral:rRNA from 1 species
UGGCAUUCGAGUGGCGGACGGGUGAGUAACGCGUGGGUAACCUGCCUUACACAGGGGGAUAACACCUGGAAACAGGUGCUAAUACCGCAUAAGCGCACAGGGCCGCAUGGCCCGGUGUGAAAAACUCCGGUGGUGUAAGAUGGACCCGCGUCUGAUUAGCUUGUUGGCGGGGUAGGGGCCCACCAAGGCGACGAUCAGUAGCCGGCCUGAGAGGGUGGACGGCCACAUUGGGACUGAGACACGGCCCAAACUCCUACGGAAGGCAGCAG